UACGGGGGGAGCAAGCGUUGUUCGGAUUUACUGGGCGUAAAGGGCGCGUAGGCGGCCAGCACAAGUCAGUUGUGAAAUCUCCGAGCUUAACUCGGAAAGGUCAACUGAUACUGUGCGGCUAGAGUGCGGAAGGGGCAACUGGAAUUCUUGGUGUAGCGGUGAAAUGCGUAGAUAUCAAGAGGAACACCUGCGGCGAAGGCGGGUUGCUGGGCCGACACUGACGCUGAUACGCGAAAGCGUGGGGAGCAAACAGG
rnacentral:rRNA from 1 species